GGCCACGCAUCACCACCCAAGCGCGGAACGAGGAACAAGGAACAAGGAGACAUGAAAAAAUCUACAGAGAUCGUCUGAACACCAAACGCCAGCACGAGAAGAACUUUGUUUCCUCUGGUGAUCCAGGAAAGUGGAUAACGCUAGCUGCACUGCUAAACGGGAUAUUCUUCAAGAACGGAGUGUUUACAGCGGAAAGCCACAAUGGUAAGCCUUUUGGAUUACAACUCCUGAAAUAUGUGGCGAGAGUUCUGAGGAAGUUCCCGGCGAUACAAUCAUAUCCUGAGAAUCUAACACCGACUCUAAUAGCUGACUGGAUCCGCGAACAGCUGCGCUACCUGCGGGAAACCGUUCUGCCCUCUCUGCGCACACGAGCGACUCACGGCCGGCGGAACGAAAAGGUGAGCAGGAACAAACUCGCAUAUCUGUGGCAGCAUAGAAGAUCUAAAGCGAUCCAAGUCAUCUUAAACAACAGCGAAUAUCCCGAUCCUCCUCCCUGUCCUAGUGACAUCGCAGCUAUACAAACUUAUUACGAUAAUAAAUGCCUAAAUCAGAGGCGUAAUGAGGAUCGUUCUUUCCCACCCUGGUAUCUGAACGUGCUGCCGCUGAAGCCAACUAUUUUCCCUGAAACAACGCAUUUCACAUAUAAGGAGGUAGAGACCGUGUUAAAUAAUCUCCCUAAUAACAAAGCAAGUGGUAAAGAUGGUGUGACAUAUGAGACCUUUAAAACCAUGCAGUCAUGUCGGCUAGCAAAGUACUGUGCUUUGUCCUCUAUCAUAGGCAGCCGUCAUAUAUGGCGGAGACGCUGUUAUUUAUACCCAUAACAACUGAGUGAUAUGCUUAAUAUUGUGAAGACUUGUUGCACGCCAUUGGUCUAUGAUUUUAUACAUGUAUCUAACUGCAUCUAUAAUAUUUACGUCCUUGUAAGUUAUUUCUCUUAAGUGGACUUAAAUAAAUUGUUAAAAUGUGAAAGUGUGUGUGUGUGUGUGUGUGUGAGAGAGAGUGAGUGUGUGUGUGUGUGUGUGUGUGUGUGUGCGUGAGCGCGCAUCGGGGGGAACUCCGCUGUGCAUGAUGCAGAGAGC
rnacentral:lncRNA from 1 species